AACCGGUGCUAAUACUGAAUAUUGAAACAUAAGUGGCAUCCCUGAGUUUUGAAAGAAUUUCGGUGGAGGAUGACUUCGCGGCCUAUCAGUCUAGUUGGUGAGGUAAUGGCUCACCAAGGCAACGACGGGUAGCCGGCCUGAGAGGGCGACCGGCCACAUUGGGACUGAGACACGGCCCAGACUCCUACGGGAGGCAGCAGUGGGGAAUAUUGGGCAAUGGAGGAAACUCUGACCCA
rnacentral:rRNA from 1 species